GAUGAACGCUGGCGGCGUGCCUAAUACAUGCAAGUCGAGCGAACGGACGAGAAGCUUGCUUCUCUGAUGUUAGCGGCGGACGGGUGAGUAACACGUGGAUAACCUACCUAUAAGACUGGGAUAACUUCGGGAAACCGUAGCUAAUACCGGAUAAUAUUUUGAACCGCAUGGUUCAAAAGUGAAAGACGGUCUUGCUGUCACUUAUAGAUGGAUCCGCGCUGCAUUAGCUAGUUGGUAAGGUAACGGCUUACCAAGGCAACGAUGCAUAGCCGACCUGAGAGGGUGAUCGGCCACACUGGAACUGAGACACGGUCCAGACUCCUACGGGAGGCAGCAGUAGGGAAUCUUCCGCAAUGGGCGAAAGCCUGACGGAGCAACGCUGCGUGAGUGAUGAAGGUCUUCGGAUCGUAAAACUCUGUUAUUAGGGAAGAACAUAUGUGUGAGUAACUGUGCACAUCUUGACGGUACCUAAUCAGAAAGCCACGGCUAACUACGUG
rnacentral:rRNA from 1 species